ACACACACAUACUCUGUAGAGAUUCAGUGGCUAAGUGAUAACUUGUCUUAAAACAUGUUCAAAGAGUGAAGACAGCUAGAGGGGACUCCCGUGCUGUAAUUUUUCUCUGUGUUCUAAAAACAGCUCCAAUCAAAUGACAGAGGAGGGCAACGGCUCGGCAGGCACAGAGAACAGGCACCUGUAGAACAAACCCUUCUCUCCUGACAGGGAAUAUUAAUCUUAGCUUGUAAGUACUUGACAAAGGACUCUUUUGUAGCGGGCGCUGUUCCAGGGGCAGCCGUGAACCUGUGAACCAGUGAAGGGCUCAGAGAGUCAGACAGCCUUACUGCUACUUUUGCCUAAUGGACCUAAAUAUAGCAACAAAAAAACACCUGCUGCCUGGGAGAAUUCACCACUGAGAUAUCUAAUUAAUCUCAUAUUUCAUUCUGUACCCUCACUGUGACUGGCAUUAAGGAUCUCCACUUUGAUCAGCACAUCAAGCUGAGCCUCCAUCAGAAAAUCUCAGACAGUGGUUUAACAGGACGGGAAGGGGGAGGAGGAGGAGUGUGAAAGCGUAAGCCACCUUUGAUAACCAAGGCUGUAUGAAAUGGCCCUUGAGGAAACCGCAACAGCCUCAUGUGCCUGUUCUGCUCUUGUCCACUGUGUCUGCAAGAAUAACACUGGAUGGAAUGACAAUGUUGAGGGAACAUAAUAAGGUCCAGAAGAGUUUCAUCAUGCCACCCUGGGGGGACUGUGGCGGAUGUGAUCAUUGUCAGGUGCUGAUUUCUCCAGUCAGAGGGGAUGUUCCUCCCAAGAGAGGGGCUGCAUACUAACAGCAACUACUGACGUAACCAACUCCCCCUCCCAAGACUUUCUUCUCUCUAGUGGCCACCCCACAGCUCUGGGGGCAGCCCUUGUACAGGAGGGAAAUUACCUCUCCACACCAAUUACCUCAAUGCCCGCUAUCUUACUUACAUCAGCCCCUGAUGAGUCACCAUUGCCAACUGUGGAAGAGUUCCUGGAUCAAUUCAGGGAGUGAAGCCGUGGCACAUUGCUGCCCUAGUCUUUGCAUGUGGAGUACAGCAAUGCUCUGUUCGCAACCAAGCUCAGCCAUUUUACCUGCUAAAAGCCAUGGGUAAAGUUUUGUCACUUCAAACAACCCAUUUUCCCUUUACCUUGCGGUCAGUCUCAUAAAAGCACAAAGGCACUACAACUGUUGAUUUGAUGGUAAAAUCCAAUUAGCCUGUACAUCUGGAUGUGUUAUGUGAGUGUGUUUCCCCACUAAUGAUUUGGGCGCUCUUGCUUUUAUUGGGUUACUCUGUCUGGUAUCCUGUGGUAUUUCCUGUUGGACUUUCAGGGUGAUAUAGAAUGCACUUAACAGGUUGGAUCAAAUAACAUGAAAAAGCAUUUAAAGGCAGUCAUGUUUGGUACUUAAUCUUGAAACACUGCCAAGAAAGUUUUGCAAUGCAGCUAAUAAUAACACGGUCAGAUGGAGCUCAUGCAGCUUUAUAUGUUUCUCUUGUGAGAGAAACCAAACAUUAAAAAGACAGAAAUGCUGCUAUUUAAAAAGAGAUGAAUCCACAUAUAACCUUAAAAGUAAAAAAAAAACGUUCAGAAACAUACGUUCAUUCAUCUGCUGUGAACCUUCUAUCUGAGAUGUGAGAGACAGGCUGAACCGUAACAGAA